UACGUAGGGUGCAAGCGUUAUCCGGAAUUAUUGGGCGUAAAGAGCUCGUAGGCGGUUUGUCACGUCUGCUGUGAAAACUGGAGGCUCAACCUCCAGCCUGCAGUGGGUACGGGCAGACUAGAGUGCGGUAGGGGAGAUUGGAAUUCCUGGGUGUAGCGGUGGAAUGCGCAGAUAUCAGGAGGAACACCGAUGGCGAAGGCAGAUCUCUGGGCCGUAACUGGACGCUGAGGAGCGAAAGCAUGGGGAGCGAAC
rnacentral:rRNA from 1 species